rnacentral:rRNA from 1 species
CCUACGGGAGGCAGCAGUGGGGAAUAUUGCACAAUGGGCGAAAGCCUGAUGCAGCGACGCCGCGUGAGGGAUGACGGCCUUCGGGUUGUAAACCUCUUUCAGCAGGGAAGAAGCGAAAGUGACGGUACCUGCAGAAGAAGCGCCGGCUAACUACGUGCCAGCAGCCGCGGUAAUACGUAGGGCGCAAGCGUUGUCCGGAAUUAUUGGGCGUAAAGAGCUCGUAGGCGGCUUGUCACGUCGGGUGUGAAAGCCCGGGGCUUAACCCCGGGUCUGCAUUCGAUACGGGCUAGCUAGAGUGUGGUAGGGGAGAUCGGAAUUCCUGGUGUAGCGGUGAAAUGCGCAGAUAUCAGGAGGAACACCGGUGGCGAAGGCGGAUCUCUGGGCCAUUACUGACGCUGAGGAGCGAAAGCGUGGGGAGCGAACAGGAUUAGAUACCCUGGUAGUCCACGCCGUAAACGGUGGGAACUAGGUGUUGGCGACAUUCCACGUCGUCGGUGCCGCAGCUAACGCAUUAAGUUCCCCGCCUGGGGAGUACGGCCGCAAGGCUAAAACCUUAAGGAAUUGACGG